UUAGUGGCAGACGGGUGAGUAACGCGUGGGAAGCUACCUUGUGGUAGGGAACAACAGUUGGAAACGACUGCUAAUACCCUAUGAGCCCUAUGGGGGAAAGAUUUAUCGCCAUGAGAUGUGCCCGCGUUAGAUUAGCUAGUUGGUAAGGUAAUGGCUUACCAAGGCGACGAUCUAUAGCUGGUCUGAGAGGAUGAUCAGCCACACUGGGACUGAGACACGGCCCAGACUCCUACGGGAGGCAGCAGUGGGGAAUAUUGGACAAUGGGGGCAACCCUGAUCCAGCCAUGCCGCGUGAGUGAUGACGGCCUUAGGGUUGUAAAGCUCUUUCAGCAGUGAAGAUAAUGACAUUAACUGCAGAAGAAGCCCCGGCUAACUUCGUGCCAGCAGCCGCGGUAAUACGAAGGGGGCUAGCGUUGUUCGGAAUCACUGGGCGUAAAGCGUACGUAGGCGGACUGAUCAGUCAGGGGUGAAAUCCCGGGGCUCAACCCCGGAACUGCCUUUGAUACUGUCAGUCUUGAGAUCGAGAGAGGUGAGUGGAACUCCGAGUGUAGAGGUGAAAUUCGUAGAUAUUCGGAAGAACACCAGUGGCGAAGGCGGCUCACUGGCUCGAUACUGACGCUGAGGUACGAAAGCGUGGGGGAGCAAACAGGAUUAGAUACCCUGGUAGUCCACGCCGUAACGAUGAAUGCUAGUUGUCAGUAGCUUGCUAUUUGGUGACGCAGCUAACGCAUUAAGCAUUCCCGCCUGGGGAGUACGGUCGCAAGAUUAAA
rnacentral:rRNA from 1 species